GGUGUCUAUAGCGAUGAGGUCCCACCUGUUCUCAUACCGAACACAGAAGUUAAGCUCAUCAGCGCAGAGGGUACUUGGCUGGACACGGCCCGGGAGAGUAUGUCGAUGCCG
rnacentral:rRNA from 1 species